rnacentral:tRNA from 1 species
GAGGAUAUAACUCAGUGGUAGAGUGUGUGCUUAGCAUGCACGAGGUCCUGGGUUCAAUCCCCAGUACCUCCC